rnacentral:rRNA from 1 species
CCUAGGGUGGGCAGCAGUGAGGAAUAUUGGUCAAUGGCCGGAAGGCUGAACCAGCCAAGCCGCGUGAAGGACGAAGGUGCCAAGCAUUGUAAACUUCUUUUGUCAAGGGACAAAAUCAGGCUCGAGAGCCUGACCGAGGGUACUUGAAGAAAAAGCAUCGGCUAACUCCGUGCCAGCAGCCGCGGUAAUACGUAGGUGGCAAGCGUUGUCCGGAUUUACUGGGUGUAAAGGGCGUGUAGCCGGGAAGGCAAGUCAGAUGUGAAAUCUGGAGGCUCAACCUCCAAAUUGCAUUUGAAACUGUUUUUCUUGAGUACUGGAGAGGCAGACGGAAUUCCUUGUGUAGCGGUGAAAUGCGUAGAUAUAAGGAGGAACACCAGUGGCGAAGGCGGUCUGCUGGACAGCAACUGACGGUGAGGCGCGAAAGCGUGGGGAGCAAACAGGAUUAGAUACCCCAGUAGUC